rnacentral:rRNA from 1 species
AGUGGCGGACGGGUGAGUAAUGCAUAGGAAUCUGCCCUGUAGUGGGGGACAACACGGAGAAAUCCGUGCUAAUACCGCAUACGACCUACGGGUGAAAGCGGGGGACCUUCGGGCCUCGCGCUAUGGGAUGAGCCUAUGUCAGAUUAGCUUGUUGGUAGGGUAACGGCCUACCAAGGCGACGAUCUGUAGCUGGUCUGAGAGGAUGAUCAGCCACACUGGAACUGAGACACGGUCCAGACUCCUACGGGAGGCAGCAGUGGGGAAUAUUGCACAAUGGGCGCAAGCCUGAUGCAGCAAUGCCGCGUGUGUGAAGAAGGCCUGCGGGUUGUAAAGCACUUUUAUCGGGAAAGAAAAAACCAGGAUUAAUACCCUGGUCUUGACGGUACCGAGGAAUAAGCACCGGCUACUCCGUGCCAGCAGCCGCGGUAAUACGGANGGUGC